AUGAGGAAUAAACAGUGCAGAAACACAGGACAGUAUAUACAGGGAGACAUGGGAACAGAGGGAACACAGGACAGUAUAUACAGGGAGACAUGGGAACACAGGACAGUAUAUACAGGGAGACAUGGGAACAGAGGGAACACAGGACAGUAUAUACAGGGAGACACAUGGGAACAGAGGGAACACAGGACAGUAUAUACAGGGAGACACAUGGGAACAGAGGGAACACAGGACAGUAUAUACAGGGAGACACGGGAACAGAGGGAACACAGGACAGUAUAUACAGGGAGACAUGGGAACACAGGACAGUAUAUACAGGGAGACACAUGGGAACAGAGGGAACACAGGACAGUAUAUACAGGGAGACACGGGAACAGAGGACAGUAUAUACAGGGACACAUGGGAACAGAGGGAACACAGGACAGUAUAUACAGGGAGACAUGGGAACAGAGGGAACACAGGACAGUAUAUACAGGGAGACAUGGGAACAGAGGGAACACAGGACAGUAUAUACAGGGAGACACAUGGGAACAGAGGGAACACAGGACAGUAUAUACAGGGAGACACAUGGGAACAGAGGGAACACAGGACAGUAUAUACAGGGAGACACAUGGGAACAGAGGGAACACAGGACAGUAUAUACAGGGAGACACAUGGGAACAGAGGGAACACAGGACAGUAUAUACAGGGAGACAUGGGAACAGAGGGAACACAGGACAGUAUAUACAGGGAGACACAUGGGAACAGAGGGAACACAGGACAGUAUAUACAGGGAGACACAUGGGAACAGAGGGAACACAGGACAGUAUAUACAGGGAGACAUGGGAACAGAGGGAACACAGGACAGUAUAUACAGGGAGACAUGGGAACAGAGGGAACACAGGACAGUAUAUACAGGGAGACACAUGGGAACAGAGGGAACACAGGACAGUAUAUACAGGGAGACACAUGGGAACAGAGGGAACACAGGACAGUAUAUACAGGGAGACAUGGGAACAGAGGGAACACAGGACAGUAUAUACAGGGAGACACAUGGGAACAGAGGGAACACAGGACAGUAUAUACAGGGAGACAUGGGAACAGAGGGAACACAGGACAGUAUAUACAGGGAGACAUGGGAACAGAGGGAACACAGGACAGUAUAUACAGGGAGACAUGGGAACAGAGGGAACACAGGACAGUAUAUACAGGGAGACACAUGGGAACAGAGGGAACACAGGACAGUAUAUACAGGGAGACACAUGGGAACAGAGGGAACACAGGACAGUAUAUACAGGGAGACACAUGGGAACAGAGGAUCAGUUACACGCUUUUAGUGGUUUUGGUCCAACUGUAGUCUGCCUUCCACAGUUGAUUACAGCUCCUUCAAUAUCACUGAAUUAG
ensembl:lncRNA